rnacentral:tRNA from 1 species
CAUCAGAUGACUGAAAGCAAGUAGUGGUCUCUUAAACCAGUUCAUGGUACCGUAGCAAGUAUCUCUGAUGA